rnacentral:rRNA from 1 species
UACGAAGGGGGCGAGCGUUGUUCGGAAUUACUGGGCGUAAAGGGCGCGCAGGCGGCUCUGAAAGUCAGAUGUGAAAGCCCCGGGCUUAACCUGGGAAUUGCAUUUGAUACUCUGGAGCUUGAGUGUGGGAGAGGAGAGUGGAAUUCCCAGUGUAGAGGUGAAAUUCGUAGAUAUCGGGAGGAACACCUGUGGCGAAAGCGGCUCACUGGACCACAACUGACGCUGAGGCGCGAAAGCUAGGGGAGCAAACAGG